GGGUCAGGACUGGAAGGUCACGGUCACAAGCUAUAUCGCGGCUUAUCCUGUGUGGAAGAUGCAUCUCCACAAAAUCCCCAAGAUGAAAGGACACUAGAAGUGGUAGCUUUAAAAGCGUUUAAUUUAGCAUCCAUAAUUUAUUCACUCUGUACCUUGUAGGCUGUAGGCCUGUAGCUGUGUCAWUUUUUAGGUUUUCUCUAAUCUGUAUAUUGUUUGUCAUGUAAAAGAAAGAUAGAAAUGGCCUAGCAAAUUCUUUUCUGUCAAAUAUGCGUUGUAAUUCUUUUUGAAAGCCAACAGAGUCUGUACCAGAGGCUUCACUAAUAAAUGGUUUCUAGUCAGCAUAUACUGUGAAACAAGUACUUCCUUCGUCACGGUUUAGAAGACAUGCUUGGAAAUUCUCUGGAACCCAGGUGAUUUUUGAUUGGUUGUGAAAUGGUCUGAAAAAUAACAUUCAC
rnacentral:lncRNA from 1 species